ACUGGUGGCAGAGUAGAGCAUGCACUCC
rnacentral:piRNA from 1 species